AUAGUACUUCCUCCGUCUCAAAAUUCUUGUCUUAAAUUUACUUAGAUAUGAAUGUAUCUAUAGUCACGUUUUGAUACAUCCAUUUCUAGGUAAACCUAAGACAAGAAUUUUAAGACCGAGGAAGUAUUUU
rfam:Hordeum vulgare subsp. vulgare, WGS project CAJW01000000 data, contig: morex_contig_1569277